ACGUAGGAGGCGAGCGUUAUCCGGAGUUAUUGGGCGUAAAGCGCGUGUAGGCGGCUUUGCAAGUCGGGUGUGAAAUCCCUCAGCUUAACUGAGGAAGUGCGCCCGAAACUGCAGAGCUUGAGUGCCGGAGAGGAUGGCGGAAUUCCCCAAGUAGAGGUGAAAUGCGUAGAUAUCGGGAGGAACAUCUGUGGCGAAGGCGACUACCUGGACCAGCACUGACACUGAGGCACGAAAGCGUGGGGAGCAAACAGGA
rnacentral:rRNA from 1 species